GACGGAGGAGGCAAGCGUUAUCCGGAAUUAUUGGGCGUAAAGCGUCCGCAGGCGGCUAAUUAAGUCUGCUGUCAAAGGUCACAGCUCAACUGUGGAUCGGCAGUGGAAACUGAAUAGCUAGAGAGCGGUAGGGGUAGAGGGAAUUCCCGGUGUAGCGGUGAAAUGCGUAGAUAUCGGGAAGAACACCAGUGGCGAAGGCGCUCUACUGGGCCGCGACUGACGCUGAGGGACGAAAGCUAGGGGAGCGAAAGGG
rnacentral:rRNA from 1 species